CAAGAGACUACGGCACUUGUCCAAGGCCUAUAGCACAAACAGGCAGACUGAGAUUUGAACCCAAGGUUUCUAGAGCGCCUGGAAUUUUAAAUCUGCCAUUUACUUCGUGCUUUUGAUUUGCCCUGCCUAUUCCGCAGAUCAUUUCCUUUCUUAUCUUUUUGAAUUAAUUAAAAAAAAAAACGUUUCCAGAUCAUGUGAACUCGGCUCAAAAUCUUUUAUUUUCUGUCCCUCCUGUACAAAAUAUAGGUUGCAUGAGAAUAGAUUUUUGUACAUAUAUUUUAGCACUGCUUUAGCCUCGGUGCCUAGGAUAUUUCCUUAUACACAGUAAGUGCUCAAUAACCAGUUCAUUAAGUCAUUGCCCUAAACACUUACAUACAAGGGCUGCUAGUGGGAUUAAAAUAUGACCCAGGUUCCAUGGCCACAACCCGAGUGACAGUUUUCUACAUGAUGUUGGACAAUUAGAAAUAGUCUGUCAACAACCUAUGAAAUAAUUUUUUGGAUACUCUAGUCAUAACCUCUUACUCGGUACAAAAUAUAACUGCUCACUUAUCAAACAAGUUUUAAUUGGUUUAUACAUUUAUAAACCCUUUUAUAUUUGGCCCUGCAUAUCCUAAAAAGUACAAAGAUAAAAUUUUCAUUUCAUGAAGUACGUGUCUCAUAGGAAACUAAAAUAAAGUUAACAAUAUGUGCUCUUAUUUUUUAUACAUUAUACACUGUAACAAUGUUUAUAAAACAACCUGUUUCUCAGGAGGGCCUUUGAAAGAGGUGGAAGAAUAAAAAUCUACUCUCCUUUCGCUUGUCCUUAAGCUGAGCAGUCAGUCCCCCAAGUUCUGCUUGUUUGUUCCCCUGCUUUUCACAUAACCAAAUUUUAACCCCCUGCUUCAGUGCAACUCAUUUUACCUGGGUCACCAUUCGGCCUAUUUAUGGGGCCUCAACUCUCACGGUAACUUUAGGAAACCUCAAGUUCAAAUCCCAAGUAAAUGAAGGAUUCACCUAAUUCACCCAGUGAGAAUAUAUAAGCUGAGUGACAAUAAAGUGGCUUUUCAUUGAGGGUUCUUAGCAAGUACGCCCUGAGUGAUGUGAGUGUCGUAGCUUAUCACUGUGGGAAGGGGAGCACAAACGCAAAGAGCAAAUCUAGUCUUCCCUCCCUCCCUCCCUUCCUUCCCUUUUUCACAGACACCAACCUACCCUCCCCAGGAUCAAAAUUACAAAGCGCGUCAGCAAGUCAGGAAGCCCAGAACUGCUGCAGCGAGCCUAAUGCAGAGGCUUCUCAAGAGCAGGCGAAUACUGACACCCCCAUGGGUUAGUGGUAGGUUUUUUAAGUAUUACACUGUCAUAAGUAUAACAACACACUGUGAUCUGUUUUCUAGGCACCAUCAAAUACACUCUAUACAAAGAUCAGAAGGCAUGAGAACCUGUGGGAAGGCUGAUCUUUACUUUUCGUCACAAAGAAAGAAAAACAAGUACCUUCUGGACCCAAAGCUAGGAUAUGGGGCAAGGCAGAGGGUGGCGGUCAGGCCACUUUUCUCUUCCUCGUUGGACCAAAAACUCACCCUACGUUCAUGGCAAAAGAGAUAGCCAUAUGUGCUGUGUUCCCCAAAUUCAGAAUAAAACCUGUUUGUUACAAGGAUACUAAUAAAGCAGUCCAGUAGACUACGACAAAAUACACAGCUGAAAUAAUCACAUGUUAAAAUCUAUUUUAGGAUUUCCCACCUUUCCAAGCUAACUUGAAUUUCUUUCUUUCUUUUUUAUUAAAGUAUCAUUGCUAUACAAUCUUACGAUGGUUUCACAUACACAACACUGUGGUUCAGCAUUCACCCACGUCAUCAAGACCUCAUCCCCCCGUUGUGGCCAGUCCAUCAGCGUGAGCUUGAAUUUCUUACUUACGGCAUGAUUCCCGUGUGGAUCCAUGUGUUUCGUACGUGGAUGUGGGUACAUCCACUACAGAGCUGCCGUCUGGAAGAGGGUCAUUCUCCCGUGGCUACGCUCGGCAGCUGCGUUUUACGGGUGAAAUUCUGCUGUUAAAUCACACCCAGUGACAUCUCCCCAGACGGCAGUCACAAUCAACGACAGGAAUAAAAGCAAGCUCAGCUCACUGA